rnacentral:tRNA from 1 species
UUGUGGCUCAGAGGUAGAGUGUUUGCUUAGCAUGUGCGAGGUCCUGGGUUCAAUCCUCAGCAUAAA